CUGGACUGUUCAUGGGUAAGGAGAUAAUGUGUGCUGGGAGUUGAAAGCUGUACUACUGAUGGCAGGUAUGGGGGAACAAUUUGAGAAUCAACAGUGAAUGAGGAAGAUAAACGUCUGCUCUAAGAAGUAGACAAGUGGACAUGCACAUUCCCAGCUGGAGGAAACCAUCAAGAAGUGCAGGGUUGACCCUGCCGGACAAGUAGAAGACUGUGAAGAUUAGCCCUCAGCUAGCAUCUGCUGGAAAUCCUCUUUUCACUGAGGAAGACUGGCCCUGAGCUAACAUCCAUGCCCAUCUUCCUCUACUUUAUACGUGGGACACCUACCACAGCAUGGUUUGCCACGCAGUGCCAUAUCCCCACCCAGGAUCUGAACUGGUGAACCCCGGGGCGCCGAAGCAGAAUGUGCUCACUUAACCGCUGUGCCACUGGGCCGACCUGUCAAUUUCUUAUCUAUCUAUUUGGUUCCAUUGGCCAACCUUUCGCCUGUGCUACUUUCUCCUGAUUACUGCAGCUUUAGAGUGGCUGUGAAAAUCAAGUCAUAAGGGUCCUCCAACAUCUUCUCCUUGUAAAAAAUUAUUUUGGCUAUGCAAGUUCCAUU
rnacentral:lncRNA from 1 species